rnacentral:rRNA from 1 species
UGGGGAAUAUUGGACAAUGGGCGCAAGCCUGAUCCAGCGACGCCGCGUGUGUGAAGAAGGCCUGCGGGUUGUAAAGCACUUUCGAUGGGAACGAAAUGUGCCGGGUUAAUACCCCGGUAAGCUGACGUUACUCAAUGAAGAAGCACCGGCUAACUCUGUGCCAGCAGCCGCGGUAAUACAGAGGGUGCGAGCGUUAAUCGGAAUUACUGGGCGUAAAGCGCACGUAGGUGGCGACGUAAGUCGGGUGUGAAAGCCCCGGGCUCAACCUGGGAAUUGCAUUCGAGACUGCAUUGCUAGAGUACGGAAGAGGAGGGCGGAAUUCCCGGUGUAGCGGUGAAAUGCGUAGAUAUCGGAAGGAACAUCAGUUGCGAAGGCGGCUCUCUGGACUCAAACUGACGCUGAGGCACGAAAGCGUGGGUAGCGAACAGGAUUAGAUACCCCCGUAGUCCCUGAGCGGGCUGGCAAGGCGCAU